ACAGGAUUCCCUAGUAACUGCGAGUGAAGCGGGAAAAGCUCAAAUUUAAAAUCUGGUAGUCUUUGGCUGCCCGAGUUGUAAUCUAGAGAAGCAUUAUCCGCGCUGGACCGUGUACAAGUCUCCUGGAACGGAGCGUCAUAGAGGGUGAGAAUCCCGUCUUUGACACGGACUACCAGGGCUUUGUGAUGUGCUCUCAAAGAGUCGAGUUGUUUGGGAAUGCAGCUCUAAAUGGGUGGUAAAUUCCAUCUAAAGCUAAAUAUUGGCGAGAGACCGAUAGCGAACAAGUACCGUGAGGGAAAGAUGAAAAGAACUUUGGAAAGAGAGUUAAACAGUACGUGAAAUUGUUGAAAGGGAAACGCUUGAAGUCAGUCGCGUUUGCCGGGGAUCAGCCUUGCUCUUUUGCUUGGUGUACUUCCUGGUCGACGGGUCAGCAUCAAUUUUGACCGGUGGAUAAAGGUCAGGGGAAUGUGGCAUCCUCGGAUGUGUUAUAGCCCUUGGUUGCAUACAUCGGUUGGGAUUGAGGAACUCAGCACGCCGCAAGGCCGGGUCUUUGACCACGUACGUGCUUAGGAUGCUGGCAUAAUGGCUUUAAUCGACCCGUCUUGAAACACGGACCAAGGAGUCUAACAUGCCCGCGAGUGUUUGGGUGGAAAACCCGGACGCGUAAUGAAAGUGAAAGUUGAGAUCCCUGUCGCGGGGAGCAUCGACGCCCGGACCAGAUCUCUUGUGACGGUCCCGCGGUAGAGCGUGUAUGUUGGGACCCGAAAGAUGGUGAACUAUGCCUGAAUAGGGUGAAGCCAGAGGAAACUCUGGUGGAGGCUCGUAGCGAUUCUGACGUGCAAAAUCGAUCGUCGAAAUUUGGGGUAUAGGGGGCGAAAAGGACUAAAUCGAAACCAUCCUAGUAACCUGGGUUCCUGGCCGAAGUUUCCCUUCAGGAAA
rnacentral:rRNA from 1 species